UGGGAGUUGUUGCUGUUAUGGUCUUUUUACGGUGCUGACUGUUGUGGGUAUCUUCACAGUUGUAGUAGUGGCUGUUGUUAUAGUUGUGGUCAUGGUGGUAGCGAUGCUUACAGUUGUUGACUGUAGUUGUUAAGAGUGUUUUUGCUGUUGUGCUGGUGACUAUUAUUAUAAUUGUGGUUGUAGCUAUUAUGGUUGGUGGUUGUUGCUGUGGUUGUUAUUAUGGUUGUUUGGUGGUUGUUAUGAUUCUGGUUGUGUUGGUGAUGACUGUUAUGGUUGUGGGUGUAGUUGUUAUGGUUGACUGGUUGUUAUGACUAUGGUUGUUGUUCUGAUUGUGGUUGCUACUGUCACAAGUGGUUGUUGCUGUGGUUGCUGUUAUGGUCGUGGUUGUUAUUUAUGGUUGACAUUUGUUGCUGUGGUUGUUUGUUGUUUUGAUUAUGGUUAUUACGGUUGACGGUUGUUGCUGUGGUGGCUGUUAGGAUUUAGUUGCUAUGAUUGUGGUUGAUGUUGUUAUUAUGGUUGAUGGUUGUUGCUGUCCUUAUUGUUAUGGUUGGUGGUUGUUUCUGUGGUUGCUAUUAUGAUUGUGGUUGUUGUUGAUGUGACUGUUGUUGUGGUUAUAGUUGUUCUUCUAGUUGGUGUUUGUUGCUGAGGUUGCUAUGGUUAUAGUUAUGGUUGGUGGCUGCUGCCAUGGUUACUAUUACGGUUAUGGUUGUUGUAUCUAUUAUCAUGCUUAUUAUUGUAGUUGUUGGUUUAUGGGAUUGCUUAUGUAAUCUAGAUGCUAAGUACCUAGGCUGACCCUGGACAUUGUAAACACCUUCUGUUUUGCCACGUGAGUAUUAAUUCUUUGCUUGUGAUAUCUUUUGUUUUCAGGACAUUAUUUGAGGGGCCUGUGAGAUGGCUCACAGCGAUGUUUGCCCUCAAUUCUGACAACCAUUCUCCUGCCUCAGCCUCCUGACUAGCUGGAUGACAGGCCUCAACUGCCAGGCCUGGUUAUAGGUGGGUUUCUGAAAACCAUUCUUGAGGCAAGCCACUUUCCCACACUGGUCUGAAGGGCUGCCUUUGCCUUCUGCAGCACCCUCAAGCUCACUGCCUGCCCUUCUGGUCUAAGUAGCAGGGGUUCUACAUGUUGAGUUCAUGAGGCCUGCUCUCUCUUCUCUUCUGCCUUAAGGUCUGGGUGAGAGCUUCCAUAUGCCCAGGGAACCCUUGAAAACUGCAGUCUCUGGAAAGAAACCUGGCUUGAAAGCACACUCCCCUCCACCAUCCUGCAAAGGAGGCAGAUGUUUCAUUGUUUGUCCCAGAGGACAUGUGACAACAUCCGCACAGGGAUUUCGUUAUCACAACUCUGGGGGAGGGGGAAGUCUUCCUGCUGUCUGGUUGGUAAAGGCAAGGAGAUGUCACUAAACAUUGUACCAUACACAGAAUGAUUCCUUAAGUGACCCUCCAUCGGAAAGGGCCCCAGGGGAGCUGAGCAAUGCAAGGUGGUCUCAGGAGACCCAUAAGAAGGUCCCUACGAUUAUCCAUACUGACAUAAUGAGCCCUGGAUCAGGUGGUGGGCAUUUCACCAGCCACAGGUGGCGAUGAAUCUGUAGAGAUGCUUCUGCAAGCCUAAGGCCAAUGUCAAAGACCCUGUGUGAUUGGGUCACCCUGCAACAGCCACAAAGUUUAGCUGCAAUCUUGGGGGGAGCAAUGCCUGGCUGCCCUUGUACCAGAAAGUGCAGGCAGAGGUACCUGCCCCAUCAGACCCCAUCUGGCCCCAUCUGGCCCCAUCCAGCCCUGUGUCUGUGUGUUUACUCAGCAAGGAGUCCGUGGAAGGUUCCUUAGGGUGGCAGUGUGACCUCGUGGCAAAGAGAGGGGGCUCGGGACAGAGCAGCUGGCAUAGAAUGACUUUGGACGGGGGAUCUCACCUCUCUGAGCUGUACUGCUCCCAUCCUCAAAAUGAGUAACCAUGGAAACAGUAUCUGCUUUAUUAGGUUAUGAGGGGAAUUUUAAAAAAUUCUCUUUUGUGUAUAUUUGUGUGUAACUAAGAAUGUGUAUGGAGGACAGAGUUUGAUGCUGGGCGCCUGAGAAUUUUUUUUUUUUUUUAUGGUUUUUCGAGACAGGGUUUCUCUGU
rnacentral:lncRNA from 1 species